UAAUAUUUUAUAAAUAUAUAUUAUAUUAAAAAACAUGUAUUUGCGAAAAAAUAAUAUUAUUAGUUUUUAAUAAUUUGAUUAUUAUAAAAAAUAUAUUAUGUUUAAUUUAUGAAUAAUCUUAUAAUUCGAAGAAAUACAAUUAGCGUUGCCUGUAUGUACUUUUAUGAACUUACAUCAUUGAACCAUCGGUAAUAUAUUUAUUUUUGAUAACGAAUUAUAUUACGUAUUAUGAGGCAAACAUUUUAAUAGUAAUAUUUAUUGUAGUUAUGUACAAGCGAUUCCAGAUGGCACUUCUUUCUCAUAUGUGUAUAUCAAGAUAUAAUAUGACGCCAUACAAGCUUUUCAUUCUGGUUAAAUGUACCGAUAAAGUCGGAUGAAAUCAAGUUUUUAUAAGAUAUAAAUAAAUUGAGAUAAAUAUAGAUACUAAAUCAAUGUAAAAUAUGUUAAACCGCAUAAAAAAGAAGGAUUAUUAUUAUGAUAAAUUACACAGAGGUUUUGUUAAUGUAUGUAUGGCGGCAACAGUAAUAACUGGAACACUUGUGUUAUAUUCAGCGUAUCUCUUUUUUACACGUACUGUACCAGAAAAUAGAUUACAAAUGGAAAAAAAAGAAAGAGACCUUUUAAGUGAAGGAAUGGACUUAGAAGACACUGUAUCUACAUAAUAUUAAAAUAUGAUUAAAAUGUAGACAAUCAAGGAAAGUGUUACUUUUGUAGUUUAGGCACCGUCCACUUUAAGUCCUCUUUUUUCUGCAGAAAUAAAAAAUAGGAUAUGAAAUAUAUUUGUUAUCGUUGGAAUAUUUGUAAAACUAAAGAAUUUUUAGGUGACUUGUAGAUUAGUGCCAUAUAUUUUUUAAGUAUUCAAACAAAAGAUAUUGCUUGUACCAAUUUCAUGCAAUAAUAAUUUUCAAAAGUAUAUUUCAUAAUGUAAUCUAAUAAUAAUAAAAUGAUUGAAACUUUAA